GACGCUGGCGGCGUGCAUAAUACAUGCAAGUCGAGCGGACCAAAGGGAGCUUGCUCCUAGAGGUUAGCGGCGAACGGGUGAGUAACACGUGGGCAACCUGCCUGUAAGACUGGGAUAACAUCGAGAAAUCGGUGCUAAUACCGGAUAAUAAAAAGAACUGCAUGGUUCUUUUUUGAAAGAUGGUUUCGGCUAUCACUUACAGAUGGGCCCGCGGCGCAUUAGCUAGUUGGUGAGGUAACGGCUCACCAAGGCGACGAUGCGUAGCCGACCUGAGAGGGUGAUCGGCCACACUGGGACUGAGACACGGCCCAGACUCCUACGGGAGGCAGCAGUAGGGAAUCUUCCGCAAUGGACGAAAGUCUGACGGAGCAACGCCGCGUGAGUGAUGAAGGUUUUCGGAUCGUAAAACUCUGUUGUUAGGGAAGAACAAGUGCCGUUCGAAAGGGCGGCACCUUGACGGUACCUAACGAGAAAGCCACGGCUAACUACGUGCCAGCAGCCGCGGUAAUACGUAGGUGGCAAGCGUUGUCCGGAAUUAUUGGGCGUAAAGCGCGCGCAGGCGGUCUCUUAAGUCUGAUGUGAAAGCCCCCGGCUCAACCGGGGAGGGUCAUUGGAAACUGGGAGACUUGAGUACAGAAGAGGAGAGUGGAAUUCCACGUGUAGCGGUGAAAUGCGUAGAGAUGUGGAGGAACACCAGUGGCGAAGGCGACUCUCUGGUCUGUAACUGACGCUGAGGCGCGAAAGCGUGGGGAGCAAACAGGAUUAGAUACCCUGGUAGUCCACGCCGUAAACGAUGAGUGCUAGGUGUUAGGGGUUUCGACGCCCUUAGUGCCGAAGUUAACACAUUAAGC
rnacentral:rRNA from 2 species